AUUGAACGCUGGCGGCAGGCUUAACACAUGCAAGUCGAGCGGGGUGAUGGUGCUUGCACUAUCACCUAGCGGCGGACGGGUGAGUAAUGCUUAGGAAUCUGCCUAUUAGUGGGGGACAACAUUUCGAAAGGAAUGCUAAUACCGCAUACGUCCUACGGGAGAAAGCAGGGGAUCUUCGGACCUUGCGCUAAUAGAUGAGCCUAAGUCGGAUUAGCUAGUUGGUGGGGUAAAGGCCUACCAAGGCGACGAUCGGUAGCGGGUCUGAGAGGAUGGUCCGCCACACUGGGACUGAGACACGGCCCAGACUCCUACGGGAGGCAGCAGUGGGGAAUAUUGGACAAUGGGCGCAAGCCUGAUCCAGCCAUGCCGCGUGUGUGAAGAAGGCCUUAUGGUUGUAAAGCACUUUAAGCGAGGAGGAGGCUACUUUAGAUAAUACCUAGAGAUAGUGGACGUUACUCGCAGAAUAAGCACCGGCUAACUCUGUGCCAGCAGCCGCCGUAACAC
rnacentral:rRNA from 1 species